rnacentral:lncRNA from 1 species
ACGAACGGCUGUUUCAUUAAUCUGACGUGGCAUUAAAAUUGAAUUUUGUAUUAAAAAUUUGGAUGCACAUGUGUAAAUUCAUAUUUAAAAAAGGACAAAAUGGGCAAUGACUAUUUUCCUUUUCUCCUAAAAAAGAAGGAUGCAAGAUGCCCCUAUUACUCUCUCUUCUCUUCAACAAUGACAAUUUUCCCAUUAACUUGGCUCUGAAUGUUCAUUACCAUAUCCUAUACAAAAGCAUUAACUAAAAGUACUUCAUUAUACCUUCUGCUGGUCCGACAUCCAUGUGCACCCUCCAAUAACUUCACUGCCACCGAGGUCUUCAAUUAAAAAUUGCAAAAACCAUGUCCAACUGUCUUUGUUCUUUACUUCUACUACUGCAUAGGCAAUGGGUAGCAUUUUUUCGUUUGGGUCCCUACAACCAGCAGUCAGCAACUCCCCCUUGUAAACACCUUUCAAGAAACAUCCAUCUAAACAUAUAAUGCGCCUACAGCUUUUGAAACUAUCUUUACAAGCUUUCAGACAAACAUACGUUCUUUGAAAGAUUAGGUCACCAUUAUGAGAAUCAACUUUAAUCUGCACAGUUGACCCUGGGUUACACCUCAAAAGCUCAUGUCCAUAGUCGUACACCCUUUUAUACUAUUCUUUGAAAUCUCCUUCAACCUGUCUUGUGGUAAUUAACUUUGCCCUUCUUGCCUUGGAUAUUGACACAUUAGUAUUCCAUUUUCUUAAUGCUUUAGUACGAAUAUCAUUCACCUUUAAAUUAGGAUUGUCAACUAAAGAUCUAUCUAUUUCCUGACUUAACCACUUAGCAUUCAUCAGUUUAAUAUUAAGUUGCCUACUACAACUAUGAGUAUCAAUUAUCUUCCUCAAUUGCUAAAUUUUGCGUGACGGCAAAUAACCACAAUAGUCCCCACUUCCCACUUAUAAUCUGCCAUGGACUUCUGCUUUGCAUAUUUUGAGUAAGGACCUACAUAGGUUGUAUCAUCCUUGUCAUCCUCCUCACUUCCACUAUUUUCAGGAGUUAAAAGCUUAUUAGACUCCCAAUCAUCAUCUGACAAACUCCUACAUUGUUGGGUUUCUUUUUCACUGUCUUCAUCCACGUAUUCAUCACCACUGAGAUCAUUCAUUCCUGCUUCAUCAUCAUUGUCCACAUCCACUUCCACUUCCACUUUUUCUUCAAUAUCAACCUCACCUUCAUCCUGAAUGUCCACGUCAACUAAUUCUUCACUCUAAACCUCAAUUUCAUCCUCAUUAUCCACUUCCAAUGCUUCUUCACUUACAUCCUCAACUUCAUCCUCAUUCUCAACCUCCACAUCAACCUCGACAUAUUCUUCAUCCUCCUUGUCAUCCUCCAAGGAAUCCUCAUGCUCAACAUCCUCAUUAUCCACUAAAUCCUCCUUCUCAACCUCUAAUGCAUCGUCAUUCUCAUCAUCCCGUGCAUCCUCAUUGUCAACAUCCACUGCAUAGUCAUUCUCAACCUCUACUGCACCCUCCACUACGUGUCUAAUUCCUUCAUCACCACCCUCAACAUGUGCUUCUCCACCAACGCCACUACCCUCACCACUCUCUGCAGGACCUUCACAUAGGUACAAAAUCUCAUUCUCAUCAUUUUCUAAUAUAGUUGCUUCGUCCACCCCAUGCACAACAUACAGGUUCACUUUCCCCAAAUACUUAG